CGGUGCCAUCCACGAGCAGCAAUUAUUAGCUCCUCCAGCCAGGAAUGGUGCCAGUUUGUUAUGAAUAUCUUCACAGGUUUCCUCAGAGUUUGAACAGAGAAUCAUGGGGAACUCCCUUCGGAUGAUCAGCAUGAUUGAGUAGUUAGAGCACUGGACUGCCAGCUGUUAGGUCUUCAAAUCCUUCAUUCAUCAAGAGAGGCAGCGACAGAGAGAGGGGACUGAAAGGACUGCCUGGCGAACACAAA